UUCUGGCCUGGAUUGUUCUAGUAACACCUGCUUUUUAAGUUUUGCUUAAGGCUCAAAGAGUUAUGUUGUAUGAGGAAGGGAAACACACUGCCCUCCUGAAUUGUGUCAGAACAGGGCUGUACCAGAGCAUAGUGCUAAUGAAACACCAUGUAUAUUGAUACUGAAAUUGCUUUGGCUGCAAGUCCUCGGGGUGGGUGAGGUAUCUGCUUGGCCCCCUGGUACCUAGCUGUAACCGUUCUGGUUUGUUUCAGACGAUAUUUCUUUAGACUUGGGUGUACAACACUGCACCCCAAAGCAAGCACCAGCCAGCACUUCCAUCUUGGCUCUGCUCUGGGAUGGAUAUCUGAGAAGGGGUUGUGGUGUGGAGGUUGUCCUCCAGUGUCACUCUCCUGGCUGAAGGAUGAGCUGUACAGCUGCCUCCAGGUCUGGGAACAGUGUCCCAUGCCUUUCCCUUUGCUGUUACAGGAACUUCAAGGCAGCACCAAUGUUGCAGAAAGCCUGAUUCUCUUCUGGGAAGAGAGAGGGAACACUAGGAGCUUUUUAACUCCUCUGUGAGCCCCUGAAGCACCAUGAAUUUCUGCAGCACCAGUGAGGAGCCAGUUUUACAGCUGUGGCCAACAAUGUGGUGGAACCCCCCAGCAUCUCUGGAGCAGCUCUUAACUGAAUCCUGUUCUGCAGAAAAAUUCCAGCUGCUGCAGGCGAGAGGCCCCUGGAAACAGAAGUUGCCAUUUUCUCAAAAGCUGACUUCCUG